AUGGCCCACAUAUCAGAUAUUAAACUGAUAAAAACAAAUACUACACUUGAUCUUAGCCAAAAGGCCGAGAAAGGUAUGCUCCUCCGCGCAGCCGUGGGCUGCUUAUAUAGCGCGCCUUCGACCCCCCUCUGCCUUGGCUGGGCGAGGUGGGACUAA
rnacentral:rRNA from 1 species